CCUACGGGAGCCAGCAGUGGGGAAUUUUGGACAAUGGGCGCAAGCCUGAUCCAGCCAUGCCGCGUGAGUGAAGAAGGCCUUCGGGUUGUAAAGCUCUUUCGGUAGGAACGAAAUGGUUCGUGCUAAUACCACGGACUGAUGACGGUACCUGAAGAAGAAGCACCGGCUAACUACGUGCCAGCAGCCGCGGUAAUACGUAGGGUGCAGGCGUUAAUCGGAAUUACUGGGCGUAAAGCGUGCGCAGGCGGUUUCUUAAGUCAGAUGUGAAAGCCCCGGGCUUAACCUGGGAACUGCGUUUGAAACUGGGAGACUAGAGUGUGGCAGAGGGGGGUGGAAUUCCACGUGUAGCAGUGAAAUGCGUAGAUAUGUGGAGGAACACCGAUGGCGAAGGCAGCCCCCUGGGUUAACACUGACGCUCAUGCACGAAAGCGUGGGGAGCAAACAGGAUUAGAUACCCUGGUAGUCCACGCCCUAAACUAUGUCAACUGGUUGUCGGGGGAUUAGCUCCCUUGGUAACGAAGCUAACGCGUGAAGUUGACCGCCUGGGGAGUACGGCCGCAAGGUUAAAACUCAAAUGAAAUUGACGGNUUGAGACGNGCGAGACGACGACGAGGAGAGG
rnacentral:rRNA from 1 species